CGAACCGAUACGAAUUAGGGACCUUCAAAAAAAGAGCAUAUUCCUAUUUGAAAGGACAGCAACGCGCCCGCUAAUCCUUUGAUGUACCGAAAUGUCUGUAGAUGUUUUUUUCACUACCA